GGCUCCGUGGUCGAGUGGUAACGAUACUUGCCUCUUCCUCUGGAGUUCCAGGUUCGAUCCCUGAUCGAGAGGCU